GGAACUGUUGAAUCACGGCCUGAACCUCUGAUUGACCUCCUGAGGCGAGCGCUGAGUCAGCUGCAGGGCACAGGUGAACGCAAUUUCACCUGAGUGACCGGAAGGGGUGGAGCCUGGCUGCACCCACAGAGACCCCAUUUAAGGGCUGACUCCCAAGGAGGAAGGAUCUCUAGCUGGAGAUCACUCCUCUUGGAGCCCUUCUGUGAGCCCAGGACAUGGGUAAGAUCUUUAUUUCAUUACUCCUUUGUAAUGCGAUAAUCCUUCUGGUCCUAUACCUGUAUACCUAUUUACCUUACAAUCUGUAUACCUGUUUGCCAUACACCAUCCAUGGCCUCGAGCACCUCCAGGGAUGGGCACCCACAGCUCUGGGCAGCCGUGCCGCUGCCUCACCGCCCUCUGACUCCCUUCAGGUGCUGGAAGGCCACAGUGAGGUCUCCCCACAGCCUUCUCUUCUCCCCGCUGCAGAAGCCCAACUCCCUCAGCCUGCCUUCAGAGCUCCAGCCCUCCGAGCAGCUCGGUGGCCCUCCUCUAACAGACGGCACUCGAGCUGCUCUCCCUCUGGCACAGUGCCUUACGGGAUGAGCAGAGCAGGUAACGCUGCGUCCCCGGGACGUUCCGGGCUCGGCGGACGCCCGG
rnacentral:lncRNA from 1 species